rnacentral:piRNA from 1 species
UGACUUAAAAGGGUGAUGGGUUACACAUU